UAUAUCCAUGAGAACUUUUCUCACUGACUAGCAAUUCCCCGUUUCCCCUCCCUCCUCCUCCUUCCUCCCCCUAUAGCAGUUACGUAAGCGCAGGUGCAUUAAGUAAUCUUGGCUGUGGCAGCUCGUUAGUAAGUUUUCCUUCUGCAAGUUAUCUUGUCCUUCUGCUAAAGGUGCACAGGCCUCAUUAUUUCUGCUUUAGACCAGUUAAAACUGUUGCAACUGAUAACGGCUGUUACACCUGGCCUUUUAGGUCAAUUAAAGUUCAAACAUGGAGGGACUCUUGUCUGCUGAGGCCUAAAACCAGGAAGGCUCCAUACUCUUGUGGCCUUCCACCCUCCCGAGUUACGUAGGGUUAUGCUUAGUGACACCAACAUCCUC